rnacentral:tRNA from 1 species
GUGGGUAUAGCUCAGUCGGUUAGAGUGCCAGGUUGUGGCCCUGGAGGUCGUCGGUUCAAUUCCGACUAUCCACCCCA